rnacentral:rRNA from 1 species
UACGUAGGUGGCAAGCGUUGUCCGGAUUUACUGGGCGUAAAGCGCGCGUAGGCGGCCCCGCAAGUCGGCCGUGAAAUCUCCAGGCUCAACUUGGAGGGGUCGGGCGAGACUGCGGGGCUCGAGGUGGGCAGAGGGCAGUGGAAUUCCGGGUGUAGUGGUGGAAUGCGUAGAGAUCCGGAGGAACACCAGUGGCGAAGGCGGCUGCCUGGGCCUGGCCUGACGCUGAGGCGCGAAAGCGUGGGGAGCGAUCCGG